GACGAACCGUGCGAACGUUGUUCGGAAUCACUGGGCUUAAAGGGCGCGUAGGCGGGCUGCCGAGUCCGGGGUGAAAUCCUGCGGCUUAACCGCGGAACGGCCCCGGAUACUGGCGGCCUCGAGCGGGGUAGGGGCGUGCGGAACGUCUGGGUGGAGCGGUGAAAUGCGUUGAUAUCCAGAGGAACUCCGGUGGCGAAGGCGGCACGCUGAACCCCGUCUGACGCUGAGGCGCGAAAGCCAGGGGAGCGAACGGGG
rnacentral:rRNA from 1 species